AUUGAACGCUGGCGGCAUGCCUUACACAUGCAAGUCGAACGGCAGCACGGGUGCUUGCACCUGGUGGCGAGUGGCGAACGGGUGAGUAAUACAUCGGAACAUGUCCUGUAGUGGGGGAUAGCCCGGCGAAAGCCGGAUUAAUACCGCAUACGAUCUACGGAUGAAAGCGGGGGACCUUCGGGCCUCGCGCUAUAGGGUUGGCCGAUGGCUGAUUAGCUAGUUGGUGGGGUAAAGGCCUACCAAGGCGACGAUCAGUAGCUGGUCUGAGAGGACGACCGGCCACACGGGAACUAGGCCCGGCCCCGACUUCUUAGGGAAGGCGCCGUGGGGAAUUUUGGACAAUGGGGGGAAGCCUUAUCCAACAAAUCCGGCGUGGGUAAGAAGGCCUUCGGGUUUGAAAGGCAUUUUUUCCGGGAAGAAAAUCCUUGGCCCAAUUACGGUCGGGGAUUGAGGUAACCGGAGGAAUAGGCCCCGGCUAACUACUU
rnacentral:rRNA from 1 species